AGCACUUGGCCACGGCGCUGUGUAGGCUGGCUGGGGCUUGAGUGCUUCCUGGAUGUUUAUGGAAUAUUUUCAAGAGAAAUAUUUUCCUGAGAGCCGACGCCUCCUCUGAAACCCUGCAGCCUUCUCAGCAGGAAACAAUCAGAAGCUUGGCCUUGCCUGCAAAACUCAACACUGAACACCUGAAG